rnacentral:ncRNA from 1 species
CCUGUAUAACUCAGGUUGAUGCGGGAUGUGGCUUUACGGCUGAACCGUUAA